AGAAGAAUGAAAAGACUAAGAAUUGAAUAGGAGUGUAUUGCUAUGCUCUCUUCUGCCAGGGAUGCAAAAGCUAGAGCCCUAGGGUCCUUCAAAUAGCGUCAAACGCGUCUCAGAGUGCAGCCCGAUCCAAAAAGAAUCAAAUGAGAACAGAAACAGGGCCCGAUCCACGUGAAUUCACGCUCAAGCGUCGUAGGGAGCUUGCCCAAGCGUGCAUCAAGGGCUCUAUGAGGCUUUAGUGCCAGUUUUGGACGCCUGGGCUUCGGGCGUCCGUCGCCCGGGCGACCAGCGGUGAAUUCAGCUUCGCUGUUUUUCGCUCUUGUCUCCUAGGCUUCGGGUUUCCUCCCUUCUUGGUGCCUUUUUGACCC
rnacentral:lncRNA from 1 species